UCGGUUAAGCGCAUUCUGGACUCUAGACGGAGGGGACGAGGAUUCCAGUACUUGGUGGACUGGGAGGGUUACGGUCCUGAGCACAGAAGUUGGGUUCCGGCCGGGGACAUACUGGAUCACUCUCUUAUCGAUGAUUACAAUCGCCAGGUAUGCUCGUCUGGGAACGCCAGGAGGCGUUCCUAGGAGAGAGGGUAUUGUCACGAUUGUGGAUCUGUCUGUUCUUCUAUGAUGUGUCUGCGUGUGUGUAUGUGUGUGUGUGUACGGUGUGGUGCGUUAUGCGUUUACGUAUAUGCGUGUAUGAGUGUGUGUGUUGGGUGUCUCUGUGUCUGUGUUAGAGUCGCGUUGCUGUCAGUUGUGUUUACCUUAUCAGCUGGGUGGUCACGUGUACGCUGUCACCAGCCUUGCCGUGCGCAGCACCGCUCAGCUGUAAUCAGUGGACCACAGGUUCCGGUCGCUGAGUUCUGGUCGUGUGUCGCGGGGAGAGCUCUGUGUUUGGACUCUUGUACCUUUCUGUUGGCGGCUCUCUGAUCUUGUUCUUCAGUGCUCCCUGUUCGAUUUAUAUUUCCUGCUGCUCGCUUGACUCACUCAUCAUCUUCCUGCGUUCUUCCUUCUGUCAUUCUGUCUGAGUCAAUAAAUAAUUAUUUUACUUGCAA